rnacentral:rRNA from 1 species
AGUAGUUUGAUCAUGGCUCAGAACGACGCUGGCGGCAUGCCUAACACAUGCAAGUCGAACGAGACCUUCGGGUCUAGUGGCGCACGGGUGCGUAACGCGUGGGAAUCUGCCUUGGGUUCGGAAUAACAGUUAGAAAUGACUGCUAAUACCGGAUAAUGUCUUCGGACCAAAGAUUUAUCGCCCAGGGAUGAGCCCGCGUAGGAUUAGCUAGUUGGUGAGGUUAAAAGGGCUCACCAAGGCGACGAUCCUUAGCUGGUCUGAGAGGAUGAUCAGCCACACUGGGACUGAGACACGGCCCAGACUCCUACGGGAGGCAGCAGUGGGGAAUAUUGGACAAUGGGCGAAAGCCUGAUCCAGCAAUGCCGCGUGAGUGAUGAAGGCCUUAGGGUUGUAAAGCUCUUUUACCCGGGAUGAUAAUGACAGUACCGGGAGAAUAAGCCCCGGCUAACUCCGUG